AUUGAACGCUGGCGGCAGGCUUAACACAUGCAAGUCGAACGAGUGGUGGACGGGUGAGUAAUGCUUGGGAAUCUGGCUUAUGGAGGGGGAUAACGACGGGAAACUGUCGCUAAUACCGCGUACCAUAGGAUGAGCCCAAGUGGGAUUAGGUAGUUGGUGGGGUAAUGGCCUACCAAGCCGACGAUCUCUAGCUGGUCUGAGAGGAUGACCAGCCACACCGGGACUGAGGGACGGCCCGGACGCCUACGGGAGGCAGCAGUGGGGAAUAUUGCGCAAUGGGGGCAACCCUGACGCAGCCAUGCCGCGUGAAUGAAGAAGGCCUUCGGGUUGUAAAGUACUUUCAGCGGGGAGGCGUUACCCGCAGAAGAAGCACCGGCUAACUCCGUGCCAGCAGCCGCGGUAAUUC
rnacentral:rRNA from 1 species